UUCACAUUAGCUUGAGGAAAAUAAUUUCUUUAUUGGCCUUAUAAAUACGCCUAUAUAUCAAGCCUAAUAUAAACACUGUUGUUUGAUCAAUAACACCUUUCUCAUGAAGAAACACCACCUAAAGCUGCACUCACUCUUCCUCCAAAGAAGCCAAAAUACCUCCAGAAAAAAUAAAAUCAGGAAGGUGGCUGCGUGAAACCUAGAGUUUAGGAAAGUUAGGGGCAUGGCGUGUUGCGCAUACACUAGACUCUCUUUUGUAUCUUUAACUGACAAUUAACUGUAUUCAAGGCCUGCUAGAUUUUAAUGUCAGUUCAUUUGUAGUGUUGGAAUAGAAUGCCUAUAGUUUGUGAAUUCACAAACAUGGUCCUUUACAAAGACUGAAUAAUGCAUUUUUUGUGACUUUGUUUAGAUACAAAGUUCUGUAGCACAUCUUCACUUUACAAAAUGAAAUAGUCUUUGAAUAAUGCUUUUGCUCUUAUGGUCAGUUUUCUUAUGUUUUUCCUCCUUAGACAUGAGGUUAACUUCCACCCUUUUAAGCUUUCAGCUUAUUUACUAGUUUCAUAUAUCUCUGUGUUGUAGGACUUCAGGGACAGACAACUAUUUCCCGCGCCUCUUUGGCCACAAAGAGCAGUAUAAGUCGUUGCUUUGAAGUUAUUUACCAUUUUACCCUGUCCUAGGUUUGAGGAGGUACCAACUUACAUUCAGGCUGCCUUACCAAGAUCAAUCCGUCGGUGCCUUUGGAUAGUCUGCAUUCUCAUUUGUGUCAUGUCAACAGGGAUGGGUGCCAUUCUGAAUGUAGCAAAACCAGAGGAAGGAUAACCAAUUGCUGUUUUUGGACUUGGGCCUUAUGUCUUGAGAAAACUUUGUUGAUACCAGUAAUCCUUAGACUUUGUUUUUAUUUCCUUUCCUGUUUGUUAUUAAAUGGGUUUUUCUAGGCUGCCGAAGGUGCAAGUGUUGCUUUGGCAUCAAGGAUUUUUGGGGUUAACUCGAAAAUACUGAGGUUUGAGGAAGCGACCUUUUUGUCCUGGUUUUGGAGAAGAAGGUGGGACUGAAGGAAUUUGUGAGUCCAAGAGACCAUGACAGUCCAGUGUAGGAGGUCAAAAGAUGUUCUAUUUUCCUCUUUCAAGUUUCCUACCUAAAUCUUCAUAUACAGCUCACUUUUAUAUUGAACCUCCUAAAUCAGUGGUUGAACUCAACAGGUUAUUGCUGAGAAGACAAUAGGUGCAGUAGCCAGAAGCAUAUACAGAGUGUUAGUGUGAUGAUCUAUGCUUUUGGUUGUGUCCCUGAUGUAUUUUUCUGGUUUACAAAUUACAACAUGCGAUUUUUCAAUUUUAAUACUGGAGCUACAAUUAGGUCUGUUUGACAAGGUUUGUUUUAGGUUAGGAUAAAGACUUCUGUUGUUCAAGACUUGAAAUUAAGAAUUCAUUACACACCGAUAUUUGAUUAUGUUGCAUUGUUAUGAACCUAAUCUUGUUAAGCGAAAUCAGUAUUUGUCUCUGACUAUAUUGUUUGACAUUAGUGUUCUAUCUACACUGCUGAACCUACUUCUAUCACAGGGAUGGGGUGCUGUGCCUUGUAGGAGGGUUGAACAAGAAAGCAAUCUUCCUGACCAAGCCGAUUAAUGGAAGGACUCUGAAAGUAACAUCAUAUUCUUCUAAGUUUUCAAUAACUUUUUGUCCUUAAUUCGUCCUCCUAAUUGGCUCAUUUCAUUCUUUUCCCUCUCUGUGGACUUAAAAUAUUUUCUUAUAUACUUUCAUGUUUUGAUUAUUUUCCAUGUAGCAUCUUCCUUCUGAACCAAAUCUCUUGUAACUCAAGGAUCCCAAAGGCCUCUGGUUUUCAUUGAAGAUGGUCAGAUUAGCCUGCUAAAUCAUUUGCUUGUUGGUGCCAUGUACUUUAAAUUCCAAGUGACUUUCUUCCUAGCGAGACAACCAAAUAACUUCCUCCAUUCUUGUACAGUAGAGCUUUUACUGUUGAAUUCUUAUUUUGGAAAUGGAACUUACUCGAGCAAUGCUUCAAAAGCAGGAAAAAGUUGCAUGCUUGAUCACUUAUAAUGAUGCCAGCCUUGCAGUACACUGAUGCAACAAGUACCAGAUUCAGGUACAAUUACUCACAUAAGUGUUAUGUAAUGAAGAUUUCAGGAAACUUCUACUCUCCUUCCCUAGUUUUAGACCAAACCUCGCGGGCAUGGUGAUCGAUGGGCAUUCCUCACUGAUUGGUAUGCCAUGAAUGCUUACGUAAUGUAUAAAAUCUGUUCAAGUGUAUAGAGAUCAUCUCUGUGCCCGGGUAUUGCUGAUGUUGAAGUCCUACAUUCUGAAAAUCAGUAUAUCUACAUAUGUAUAUUAUAUGGAUGUAUAUUCAUUGUGAAAACUGAAAACUUUCACAACAUUCUUGUUACAUAAAGUUGCAAAUAAUCAGACAAUGAUGAUUAAUUAAUAUACACGACCCCGCGCGCGCAUAUAUAAUGAAUAUGCUAGACGUCUAAAAUCUUUGUUCUUUUUUCUAACUUUAAUGUGGUGCUUCAAUCUUAGAAAUAAACAGGCUUAUCCUUUGGAUUUCCCAUAUCUCAAAUUGUUUUUUAAUGAAGGGUCUUUCAUGGGAUUUUCAAGGCACUGGUUCUAAGCGUUUCCUGUAGGAAUUGUUAUUCAUCCUAAAAGGAUUUAUGGUUUUGAUAGUUUGAUAUGCUUAUCAUACUUGACCUAUAUAGUUAGCUGAGGUUCUCUGCUUAACUUUAGUUCUCCAUCUUUUGUCUGUUAUGUUUUCUGAUCUUUUUGUAAGAUUGUUGUGGUCACCUGAAUUAAAGGCUAUAAAUAUCGACGUUACAAAUUUACACUAGAAAAUAGCAAGACAUGUUCUAGCAGGAGAGAAAGGCUCUGACUCACCCUUUACACCCUCAAAGCCAUUAUGUUGCAUCCACCUUGCUCCAACCUAAAAGGUAUGGAAUAGGCUUCAGGAAAGGAGAGGGCAAUGAUCAAAAUCAGAUUUAGACAAAAGUGCUUCACAUUAGCUCGAGGAAAAGAUUUUCUUCACAUGAGUUACAGCUUGCUCAUGAAGAAACACCACUUCAAGCUGCACUUGCUCUUCCUCCAAAAAAGCCUAAUACCUCCACAGAAACAAAUCAGGGAGGCAGAGGCGGCUGCCUGAAACCUAGCUAAGGUUUAGGACAAUUAGGAGUGCAGCAAUGCAUUCGAUCACUUUUUCUAUCUUUAACUGACAAUAUAUUAAUUGGUUUCAAGGUCUGCUAGAUUUUAAUAUAAUUUCAUGUGUAGUUUUAUUAUUGCAAUAUUA